GUGGAACAAGGGAGUUACUGGAGGGAUUAUGAAAAGGCCUGUCCUGGAGUAGGUGACUUCUGGGUACUCUUCUGGCUCUGUCAAUCUGUUUCUUCACUUCAGCAGCUCUCGUCCCCUAAUGCCCCUACUCUACUUGCGCUAUAUUGAUGACAUCUUCAUCAUCUGGACCCAUGGAAAAGAAGCCCUUGAGGAAUUCCACCAUGAUUUCAACAAUUUCCAUCCCACCAUCAACCUCAGCCUGGUCCAGUCCACACAAGAGAUCCACUUCCUGGACACUACAGUGCUAAUAAGCAAUGGUCACAUAAACACCACCCUAUACCGGAAACCUACUGACCGCUAUUUCUACCUACAUGCCUCCAGCUUUCACCCUGACCACACCACAUGAUCCAUUGUCUAAAGCCAAGCUCUAUGAUACAACCACAUUUGCUCG